rnacentral:rRNA from 1 species
UACGUAGGGUCGAGCGUUGUCCGGAAUUACUGGGCGUAAGAGCUCGUAGGUGGUUUGUCGCGUUGUCCGUGAAACUCACAGCUCAACUUGUGGGCGUGCGGGCGAUACGGGCAGACUGGAGUACUGCAGGGGAGGACUGGAAUUCCUGGUGUAGCGGUGGAAUGCGCAGAGAUCAGAGGAACACCGGUGGCAAGGCGGGAUCUCUGGGCAGU